GAUGAACGCUGGCGGCGCGCUUAACACAUGCAAGUCGAACGGGAUAUCCAUUUCGGUGGAUGGAGAGUGGCGCACGGGUGAGUAACACGUAGCUCAUCUGCCCUCAAGCGGGGGAUAACGGUUCGAAAGGACUGCUAAGACCCCAUAAGCUCACGGGAAGUAGCACACGGUGAGAAAAGCUGAGGCGCUUGAGGAGGAGGCUGCGGCCCAUCAGGUAGUUGGGCGGUAACGGCGCACC
rnacentral:rRNA from 1 species